rnacentral:tRNA from 1 species
UCCCAGGUGAUCCAGUGGUUAGGACUCAGCACUUUCAAUGCCAAGGGCCCGGAUUCAAUCUCUGGUCAGGGAA